rnacentral:tRNA from 1 species
GUGAAGGAAGCUUAGUGGUAAAGUGCUUGCCUCACAUGCAUGAGGCUCUGGGUUCAAUUCCUGAGCACCACA